GAAAUGCGAUAAGUAGUGUGAAUUGCAGAAUUCAGUGAAUCAUCGAAUCUUUGAACGCACAUUGCGCCCCUUGGUAUUCCAUGGGGCAUGCCUGUUCGAGCGUCAUUUGUACCCUCAAGCUCUGCUUGGUGUUGGGUGUUUGUCCCGUCUCCGCGCGUGGACUCGCCCCAAAGUGAUUGGCAGCCGGCGUACUGGUCCCGGAGCGCAGCACAUGUCGCGCAAACGAGUGCCUUGGUACGGCGGCGUCCAUAAGCCCCGCUCUCACGCUCUUGACCUCGGAUCAGGUAGGGAUACCCGCUGAACUUAAGC
rnacentral:misc_RNA from 1 species